rnacentral:lncRNA from 1 species
AGAAAAUUUUAGUUUUUCUCAUUCCUGUAGGCAUAUUUCUAGUCUGCUUGACUUUGUAGAAAUGUGUCUGGUAAGUUAACAUGUCCGAGAAACUUGCGUCGAUUAAUCGCUUGAUGCUUUGCAUUUGGCAGGCGUUUUGAAACCGCUGGGCUUGAAAGAAAACGCUGGCAUGCCUCGUCGUUCAUCCUUGCCAUUUGACCUUCAUCAUUCUGCCACCCUCUUCACAGAUGCAUCAAACGGUGAGGAUCUGCGGCACCGGGAAAAAGGUUCUAAAAAAAGCAAAAAGAAAAAACUACUCCGGCGGCGUAGUUCGGGAGGACCUGAUUUACUCUUGCCCCGUGAGCAUUUACUCAACCGGAGGCGGGGCUCUUUGCCAAGUGAAAUGUUUACAUCUCAAUCAGGUGAGCGUCCCUUCAAAAAAAAGUACUCAAGUUCUUAACAAUGACCGAUAACAAUUAUUGGUUUAUCCCAUCAAACUAGGAUUCAUAUGGUAAUAGAGCCAAUCUUUGACAGGCUCUAGAAGGAGGAUGGGCCUUUAUCAAUUUUUGCUAUCACAGUGAACAGUAUUGUGCAGAAAAGAUAGGAACAAAUUGUCAUAUUUCAAUAUCAAGUGACAAUAAUGAUCAGCCGCUACUGGUUUCAUCUUGCUGAGUAAAAUCCCAAGAAUAGGAUUUCUUUUUUGAACAAAAACGUUUCUUUUUCCUUUAUUGUUGAUCAAAUACAUAAUUGCUCAUAAUAAAAAAUGUACUCAACUGUUCUUAAUGUUAUCUUCAAUUUCUGUGUGCACUUUACUUUCCACUCAUACAUCAAGUGUUAGGGUAAAUACCUCUCCUCAGAGGAUGUAUGUUAUGUGAUAUUUUUUAUUACGUUAUUAGUCAUUACAUCAUACAAUCAUUUUUUCUUUUUUUACUUUUUUAAAAAAUUCCCACCUUAUUUUUAUUCUUGUAUAAAGUUAAUCUCAAAGUGCGUUACCAUGUGGCAGUUAUCGAUUAACUUUUUUUGUUAAUUUAUUCUAAUUAUUUUAAAUGUAUUGUGCAAUAACAGAAUGAGCUGACGUGAUCGAAAGCUAUCUACCCAUCUUUCAGUGUAAAUAAUCAAGAGCAAAUUCUCUUGCCGCAUUGUAAAUGAUAAGGUUCUUACAGAAUCUCUUAUUGUGCAGUGCCAUGCCAGCAAUUUUGUUAUCUUUUAAUAAUGUUAACUUUUUAUAUUAAUGUCUCCUUUUCAUUACAAUUUAUGGGAUGUCAUCCUAUCUGUUGAUAAUUUAUGAUCACAAGACAUCAUUUUCAAGGUUAUCGGCUCUUUCUCACUUACCGGUUCGUGGUGUCUCGUGUGAUUCUUAACUUCAAACAUCAUUUGUAGGUUCUUUAAACAAUCAAGUUUGUUCAAGCACCGCACAGUUUGAUGCUUUUGUUCCGAGAAGGUUUAAUGCAGUAUUUUUUUCGUCAGAAAUGGGUUCAGUGUGAACAAACUGAAACUGAUUGAAUUUUGUCUCUAUAUCAAGAAAUUUUCCUUCUCUUAAAGCAUCGAUUUUUAACAAUUAAGAAUUGAACAUAAUAUUUUAGAAUACCUAGCAAAAUUGUCUUGCAUUCUUUUUCUGAGGACCUAUUAUUUUUUUUUUCGGAGCAAAAAUUAUUAGAUUCUCUUCUGUAUUCACAGUCCUCCUGUGAACAACCAUUUUUUUCAACCAUCAUUUUAAAAAAUCUAUUUGUGACCGUGUGGAGAGCAAAUUUUUCAAUAGAGUGAUUUUAUACAAGUCAGUCAAACUAUCGGAAUCUGGGGUUAGGACGGAAAACAUUCUCUGCAUCUCAGAGAAUAAUUGCAAGGGACUUUAAUCAUAUUUCGAUGGUGAAACUCUUAAACCUUCUAUUUCAGUCUGCAACGUUGCAGACUUUCUGUUUUACGUAAUUUUUUAAAUGGUAAACUCCUCAAAAUCAGUUCUUAAAAGCUACCGUGACUUUUUUUCUCGAUAUGAAUAAAAUUCUGUGAAAACUUUGAGGAAUGAUGUUGAUUUGUUCUCAUUUAAGAAAAUAAAACAGGCGCAAAAAAUUUUAAACAUUGCAAUGAGAUAUGUGGUUUGGGAGUUUCAUUGUCGAUUUGUGUCAUUCACAAUUCUGUGGAAAUGGCAAAUCAGAACUUUCAUUUAAAGUCCUGAUUCACCAUUUGACUGAAGAGCGGACUUCAAGCUGUCAAAUUUUUGGUUACAUAUUCGGACAUUUUAGGUGCCAGAAUGUUUGUAAAACACUUUUUUUAUCAGUAUUGAUGGUGCUGAUCUGAUACCUAAUGUUUAGCUUAUUGGCACUAAUGUUCUGGUUGAGUUGCUUUGGUAUUUAUUGCCCUGGUAUUAUUCCUAACGUCCCUUUUCCUACGGAUGGUGAUAUUUGUAAUUUUACUUCUUCAAACAUAAACCUUUCCACUUGUUUUGUUCAAUUUGUUCUGUUAAUAUUCCUUCAAACUUUGAAUCUUUCACGACUUGCAUGAAGCAAAUUAUUUUGUUACAAAGCUAUUACCAAGCUCACAACAAAUAAACGUCAAUAAUGUGAGUCGUCAUGCAGAGCUACUCUAAAGGGAUCUGUAGGCUUUUUCUGAUUUCCCGGAAAUGAUUCCAUCGUUUAUUUAAGAGAAAUUUUGUUUAUAUUUCUCUCUAGAAUUAUCAUUUAAUUCCUCACCAAACAUGUAAAGUUGGAUUUCUAUUCUUUGUAGCAUAUUUUUGGAUGCAAUUUAUUCAGGUAGAAUUCCCAUGUGAUUUGUUUUGAGAGAUUGAGUUCCGGUAGAUUUUCUUCAGCUUAAAUUAAUUGCAUAGUUAUUAAUAACUUAAUUUCUUUAAAUUUCCUUCAACUCCACUUAAAAAAAUUGUUUAUUUCUUGUUUCCAUCAGUCAAUAAACUGAAUCUUUCUCUUGCAAUGAAUGUAACUCUUAGAGAAAACUACUUAUCUCCCAGCCCAGCAUUCCUAAGUAGUAAUAUUAAUGAAUGUUAGUGAAAAAGUGCAACAGUUCCUUUGGAAGUAUCUAGCUCAAAAACUACAAAACCAGUGUCACCAGUCAGUGCAUGAAGGCAGAUUGCUUUAUUUAAAUGUAAAAAUGCAUUUGCAGAAUUACUGAUUAGUAUUUCCGAGUUUUAAAACUUUACUUGACACAAGGGUCAAAUGAUAGUACCUAUAUUAUGAAAAUUUUCCAUGUAAAAGUAUCAGAUAUAUGGGCUCAGACCCCACACCUACUCCAAAAAUUUCAAUCUUUAUAUCAUGCAAUUUUCCAAAGACGUAGCUAUACAUAUAUUGUCUUCCCUAACUUAAUAAUGUUGAGCACUGUCCAAAGUAGUGAUACCUUUUUUUAAUUCAACAUUAGUCAAUGUAAUUUCAGCUUUGAAAUUCUGUAAAGAGAAUUAAAGUAAGAUCGGUUACGCACUUAACAUAAUCGAAAGUAGAUCCAAUUUUAAAUUGAGAAGCUUAGGGGUCAUUAUUUGCCAAGUAAUCCAGUGAUGCAACCCACCUAUUCAGAUUCCCUUGCAUUUUUUUUUUAUGAAAAGGUCUGUAAAAUUUUGAACCCAUGCAAAUGUUUAGGUCUGAAAAUCCAAAACUAUCUAAGAUAGAAAUUAUAUUCAUAUUUUCUGUUUUGGCCUCCGAUUUACUAAAUUGUAUACAAAAAAAUACAUAUCUCUGCAAAGGAUGUAUUAAUAUUCUUCAAAAUUUCAAAAUUUACUGGUAUAGGUAACCGGUUCAAAAUUUGUUGAAGAUAAACUGCAUGAAAUGCGAGAUAUUUCUCCAAAAAUAAUUCUGUUAUCAUUCCUCUAAAUGUUGCCGUUUUUUUUUUUUUUUUUAGACCGAUUCUUCAGGCUUGUGCACAGCAGUGGUGUGGCGUGCUUUGCGAUAUAUCAAUUGAUCUACCAUUUAAACCUAUGGAAAUGAAUCGAUAAAUGGGGUGUUCGCAGCGAACACCUUGAUAAUCGAUUCUUUACCAUAGCUUCAAAAGGGGAAAUAUCGAUAAUCGAUUAUUCACGCCACGCCACUGGUGCGCAGGAACUAGUGCCCUUUGUUUGGCUAAAAAUUAAAAAUCUGCCAACACUUUUUACUCAACUGAUGUGUUAUAAAAAUGUUGCGUGUGAUUGUUUCAGACCAGCCGUUAUUUUUAAAUGAGUACGAAAUGAAGGUAGAAGCACUCAAUAAACCAUUAAUUUAAUUCCUCAAGUUUUUAAAGUAUACUAUAAGAAGUAAUUCCGCGAAAAGGAAAGUUCGGUUUUUGCCGUGCUUUUUGAGCUAGACCAUUUAGCACUAAAUUUUAUUUUAAAGUAAAAAUUUGACAACAUGACUAAUUUGAUA